AUCUUGCUAAGUAGUCUGGGGGUGGGUGUGGGGGGGAAUGCUAAUGUGAGAAGAUCUUAAAGAUGGUGACUUUUUCCAGGCCCUUCAAGUUGUUUGCUGUGGUUGGGACACAGGGAGUUCAUGAAAGACAGAGAUGAUGGGAGCCAUGAAAGGAUUGUGAGAAGGAAAAUGACAUAAUAAGCUUUCUAUUUUUAAAACGUCAGUGCCAUGUGGAAGGAACAAAGGAAGGAGUGAAGGCUGGAGAGGAAGGAGGCCAGGUAGCAAGAAGGUCAUUGCAAAAGUCUAGGUAAAAGACAUAAGGCAGCUUUGGUGGAAAUGAAG
rnacentral:lncRNA from 10 species